rnacentral:rRNA from 1 species
AUUGAACGCUGGCGGCAUGCCUUACACAUGCAAGUCGAACGGUAACAGGUCUUCGGAUGCUGACGAGUGGCGAACGGGUGAGUAAUACAUCGGAACGUGCCUAGUAGUGGGGGAUAACUACUCGAAAGAGUGGCUAAUACCGCAUGAGAUCUACGGAUGAAAGCAGGGGAUCGCAAGACCUUGUGCUACUAGAGCGGCCGAUGGCAGAUUAGGUAGUUGGUGGGAUAAAAGCUUACCAAGCCGACGAUCUGUAGCUGGUCUGAGAGGACGAUCAGCCACACUGGGACUGAGACACGGCCCAGACUCCUACGGGAGGCAGCAGUGGGGAAUUUUGGACAAUGGGCGCAAGCCUGAUCCAGCAAUGCCGCGUGCAGGAUGAAGGCCUUCGGGUUGUAAACUGCUUUUGUACGGAACGAAAAGCCCCGGGUUAAUACCCUGGGGUCAUGACGGUACCGUAAGAAUAAGCACCGGCUAACUACGUGCCAGCAGCCGCAGUAA